rnacentral:lncRNA from 1 species
AUGCAAUGCAGCCCGGACAAUGCCCGCCGCAGCCCCGCCGCCUUUGUGCGAAAUGGAAAAACUUCGGCAGGGGGAACGGGACGGCCGCCGGCGGCCCCUCCAGCUGCCCCAGCGCAGAAAGUCCCCAAGAGGGUCCCCAGCACCCACGGGGUCCCCAGCACCCAUGGGGUCCCCGUCCGUGGGACCGAUGGCAGCUUGGAUGCCCCGAUGCCAUCGGGGUGGGCACAGAGGCUGCUGAACCCCAGCCCCAUCUGCGAGGAAACGACCCCCCAGGACCCACGGGGACAUUGCUGGGCCCGGCACCCCCUCGCCGCGCACGGGGCUGGGGACACCGAAAAUUUGGUGGCUUCCCAGCGGCACCGAGCACCGCCCGUCGAGGCCGCUCCUAUUGCUGAUGCUAAUUCGGGCAUCCCGGCAGGAGGAGGGAGCGGUGUAAAAUCAGUCCUCAAAGGGGCUUUUGUGUUGGCAGGGCUGGGGUGCUCCGAGCAUCCAUCUUUCGCCUUUCCCUCCUUUUUUUUGUGUGCCUGCCUGGAGCUGAAAGGCGACGCUGUGGGGGCUGCGAGGCUCUCGGGGCCCCCGAAUUCGUUCCAGGGAGGUGCUGACACCGGGGUUUGUGCAGCCCCCGCGGCCGCUGCGAGGGCCGGGGGACCUUGGAGGGGUCAGGACCCUGGUGGUGCCCAGCCAGCAAAGGUGCUGAGGGGCUCUGCUCACGGCGGGGGGCACCCAGCAGCCAGGAUCGGGGUGCUGGGGGCUUUUUGGCACCGUAGCCCACGAGUUCUGCCCGUCGGUGUAGGGGAUGCUCGGCUCCAGGCAAUGGGGGCACACGGGGGGCUGCGUGCUCGGGCUGUCCUGGGGGUGUUUUUGGGGGGGAUGCCGCUGCCCCCUCCCCAGUACCCCAACCCACGAGGGAUGCUCGGGGCACGGGCGGAAGCGACAUCUAGCGGGAAGCGCAUCCCGUCGCCCGGGAGCUCCAAUAUCCAUGGCAACCCCUCGGGGCCCUCAGCACCCUGCCUGGACCAGGGGCACCCACCAGCACCCUGGGACCCCCCCCCCCCCGUGGGGGGAAGCAGGUGCUGCUGGCAAGGCAGGGCUGCCCCAGCAUGA